AUGGGAUAAGCCUGGGAAACCGGGUCUAAUACUGGAUACGACGUCCUACCGCAUGGUGGGGCGUGGAAAGGGUUUUACUGGUUUUGGAUGGGCUCACGGCCUAUCAGCUUGUUGGUGGGGUAAUGGCCUACCAAGGCGACGACGGGUAGCCGGCCUGAGAGGGUGACCGGCCACACUGGGACUGAGACACGGCCCAGACUCCUACGGGAGGCAGCAGUGGGGAAUAUUGCACAAUGGGCGGAAGCCUGAUGCAGCGACGCCGCGUGAGGGAUGACGGCCUUCGGGUUGUAAACCUCUUUCAGCAGGGAAGAAGCCACAAGUGACGGUACCUGCAGAAGAAGCGCCGGCUAACUACGUGCCAGCAGCCGCGGUAAUACGUAGGGCGCAAGCGUUGUCCGGAAUUAUUGGGCGUAAAGAGCUCGUAGGCGGUUUGUCGCGUCUGCUGUGAAAGCCCGGGGCUCAACCCCGGGUCUGCAGUGGGUACGGGCAGACUAGAGUGCAGUAGGGGAGACUGGAAUUCCUGGUGUAGCGGUGAAAUGCGCAGAUAUCUGGAGGAACACCGAUGGCGAAGGCAGGUCUCUGGGCUGUUACUGACGUUGAGGAGCGAAAGCAUGGGGAGCGAACAGGAUUAGAUACCCUGGUAGU
rnacentral:rRNA from 1 species